GAUGCGUACGAAUCAGUCUUUUAGUGGGGGACAACCCAAGGAAACUUGGGCUAAUACCGCAUGAGCCCUGAGGGGGAAAGCGGGGGAUCUUCGGACCUCGCGCUAAGAGAAGAGCCUACGUCUGAUUAGCUAGUUGGUAGGGUAAAGGCCUACCAAGGCGACGAUCAGUAGCUGGUCUGAGAGGACGACCAGCCACACUGGGACUGAGACACGGCCCAGACUCCUACGGGAGGCAGCAGUGGGGAAUUUUUCGCAAUGGGGGCAACCCUGACGAAGCAAUGCCGCGUGGAUGAAGAAGGCCUUCGGGUUGUAAAGUCCUUUCGUGGGGGACGAAAAGGUGGUUCCUAAUACGAGCUGCUGUUGACGUGAACCCAAGAAGAAGCACCGGCUAACUCCGUGCCAGCAGCCGCGGUAAUACGGGGGGUGCAAGCGUUAAUCGGAAUCACUGGGCGUAAAGGGUGCGUAGGCGGUACGUUAGGUCUGUCGUGAAAUCCCCGGGCUCAACCUGGGAAUGGCGGUAGAAACCGGCGAACUAUAGUAUGGGAGAGGGU
rnacentral:rRNA from 1 species